rnacentral:rRNA from 1 species
AUUGAACGCUGGCGGCAUGCCUUACACAUGCAAGUCGAACGGCAGCAUGAUCUAGCUUGCUAGAUUGAUGGCGAGUGGCGAACGGGUGAGUAAUACAUCGGAACGUGCCCUGUAGUGGGGGAUAACUAGUCGAAAGAUUAGCUAAUACCGCAUACGACCUGCGGGUGAAAGUGGGGGACCGCAAGGCCUCAUGCUAUAGGAGCGGCCGAUGUCUGAUUAGCUAGUUGGUGAGGUAAAGGCUCACCAAGGCGACGAUCAGUAGCUGGUCUGAGGGGACGAUCGGCCACACUAGAACUGAGACACGGCCCAGACUCCUACGGGAGGCAGCAGUGGGGAAUUUUGGACAAUGGGCGAGAGCCUGAUCCAGCAAUGCCGCGUGUGUGAAGAAGGCCUUCGGGUUGUAAAGCACUUUUGUCCGGAAAGAAAUGGCUCUGGUUAAUACCUGGGGUCGAUGACGGUACCGGAAGAAGAAGGACCGGCUAACUACGUG